UGGGAAUUUUCAAGGUCGUAUUCCAAUCUCGUCUGAUCUUGGAUGAUAAACAGGGCUGGGGCUGGUUAGUACUUGGAUGGGAGACCACUUGGAAUCCUGCUCUGAAUCCCAC
rnacentral:rRNA from 1 species